rnacentral:rRNA from 1 species
AGCGGUGGAGCAUGUGGUUUAAUUCGAAGCUACGCGAAGAACCUUACCAGGUCUUGACAUCUUCUGACAGUCUAAGAGAUUAGAGGUUCCCUUCGGGGACAGAAUGACAGGUGGUGCAUGGUUGUCGUCAGCUCGUGUCGUGAGAUGUUGGGUUAAGUCCCGCAACGAGCGCAACCCUUAUUACUAGUUGCCAGCAUUAAGUUGGGCACUCUAGUGAGACUGCCGGUGACAAACCGGAGGAAGGUGGGGACGACGUCAAAUCAUCAUGCCCCUUAUGACCUGGGCUACACACGUGCUACAAUGGAUGGUACAACGAGUCGCGAGACCGCGAGGUUAAGCUAAUCUCUUAAAACCAUUCUCAGUUCGGACUGUAGGCUGCAACUCGCCUACACGAAGUCGGAAUCGCUAGUAAUCGCGGAUCAGCAUGCCGCGGUGAAUACGUUCCCGGGCCUUGUACACACCGCCCGUCACACCAUGAGAGUUUGUAACACC